UGCUGCGGCGGCUAGACUGCACGUUAACGGUACGACACUAGCUUGCUAGUGGGCGACGAGUGGCGGACGGGUGAGUAACGCGUACGAAUCUACCUAGUAGUGGGGGAUAGCCAAGGGAAACUUUGGGUAAUACCGCAUACGAUCUAAGGAUGAAAGGGGGCCUCUCUUUGAAGCUCUCGCUAUUAGAUGAGCCUGCGUAAGAUUAGCUUGUUGGUGAGGUAAUGGCUCACCAAGGCGACGAUCUUUAGCUGGUCUGAGAGGAUGAUCAGUCACACUGGAACUGAGACACGGUCCAGACUCCUACGGGAGGCAGCAGUCGGGAAUAUUGGACAAUGGGGGAAACCCUGAUCCAGCCAUGCCGCGUGUGUGAAGAAGGCCCUAGGGUUGUACAGCACUUUUAGUAGUGAGGAAGGCUCAGCAGUUAAUACCUGCUGGGAUUGACGUUAGCUACAGAAAAAGCACCGGCUAAUUUCGUGCCAGCAGCCGCGGUAAUACGAAAGGUGCAAGCGUUAAUCGGAAUUACUGGGCGUAAAGCGCGCGUAGGCGGCUUGGUAAGUUGGAUGUGAAAGCCC
rnacentral:rRNA from 1 species